GAGCGCUUAGAAGUGAGAAUGCCGGUGUGAGUAGCGAAAGACGGGUGAGAAUCCCGUCCACCGAUUGACUAAGGUUUCCAGAGGAAGGCUCGUCCGCUCUGGGUUAGUCGGGUCCUAAGCUGAGGCCGACAGGCGUAGGCGAUGGAUAACAGGUUGAUAUUCCUGUACCACCUAGUAUCGUUUUAAUCGAUGGGGGGACGCAGUAGGAUAGGCGAAGCGUGCUGUUGGAGUGCACGUCCAAGCAGUAAGGCUGAGUGUUAGGCAAAUCCGGCACUCAUAAGGCUGAGCUGUGAUGGGGAGAGGAAAUUGUUUCCUCGAGUCGUUGAUUUCACACUGCCGAGAAAAGCCUCUAGAUAGAUAACAGGUGCCCGUACCGCAAACCGACACAGGUAGUCAAGAUGAGAAUUCUAAGGUGAGCGAGCGAACUCUCGUUAAGGAACUCGGCAAAAUGACCCCGUAACUUCGGGAGAAGGGGUGCUCUUUAGGGUUCACGCCCAGAAGAGCCGCAGUGAAUAGGCCCAAGCGACUGUUUAUCAAAAACACAGGUCUCUGCUAAACCGUAAGGUGAUGUAUAGGGGCUGACGCCUGCCCGGUGCUGGAAGGUUAAGAGGAGUGGUUAGCUUCUGCGAAGCUACGAAUCGAAGCCCCAGUAAACGGCGGCCGUAACUAUAACGGUCCUAAGGUAGCGAAAUUCCUUGUCGGGUAAGUUCCGACCCGCACGAAAGGCGUAACGAUUUGGGCACUGUCUCAACGAGAGACUCGGUGAAAUCAUAGUACCUGUGAAGAUGCAGGUUACCCGCGACAGGACGGAAAGACCCCGUGGAGCUUUACUGUAGCCUGAUAUUGAAAUUCGGCACAGCUUGUACAGGAUAGGUAGGAGCCUUUGAAACGUGAGCGCUAGCUUACGUGGAGGCGUUGGUGGGAUACUACCCUAGCUGUGUUGGCUUUCUAACCCGCACCACUUAUCGUGGUGGGAGACAGUGUCAGGCGGGCAGUUUGACUGGGGCGGUCGCCUCCUAAAAGGUAACGGAGGCGCUCAAAGGUUCCCUCAGAAUGGUUGGAAAUCAUUCAUAGAGUGUAAAGGCAUAAGGGAGCUUGACUGCGAGACCUACAAGUCGAGCAGGGUCGAAAGACGGACUUAGUGAUCCGGUGGUUCCGCAUGGAAGGGCCAUCGCUCAACGGAUAAAAGCUACCCCGGGGAUAACAGGCUUAUCUCCCCCAAGAGUUCACAUCGACGGGGAGGUUUGGCACCUCGAUGUCGGCUCAUCGCAUCCUGGGGCUGUAGUCGGUCCCAAGGGUUGGGCUGUUCGCCCAUUAAAGCGGUACGCGAGCUGGGUUCAGAACGUCGUGAGACAGUUCGGUCCCUAUCCGUCGUGGGCGUAGGAAAUUUGAGAGGAGCUGUCCUUAGUACGAGAGGACCGGGAUGGACAUACCUCUGGUGUACCAGUUGUCGUGCCAACGGCAUAGCUGGGUAGCUAUGUAUGGACGGGAUAAGUGCUGAAAGCAUCUAAGCAUGAAGCCCCCCUCAAGAUGAGAUUUCCCAACUUCGGUUAUAAGAUCCCUCGAAGAUGACGAGGUUAAUAGGUUCGAGGUGGAAGCGUGGUGACACGUGGAGCUGACGAAUACUAAUCGAUCGAAGACUUAAUCAAUUUUUUAAA
rnacentral:rRNA from 1 species